ACUUUAUUUGUGUAUCUGCUGUAAAUAUGGACGGAGAAUCAUUAGUAGGCUUUAGGUGGGCACUUAAGAGUUAUCGGGCUGCUCAUAAAGAACCCUACUAACACUG
rnacentral:snoRNA from 1 species